rnacentral:tRNA from 1 species
GGGCCCGUAGCUCAGCUAGGUUAGAGCGGCGGACCAGUUACCCGUAGGUCGGGGGUUCAAGUCCCCUCGGGCCCACCA